GUCCACACCGUAAACGAUGACAGCUAGUUGUUGGCAGGCAUGCCUGUCGGUGACGCAGCUAACGCAUUAAGCUGUCCGCCUGGGGAGUACGGCCGCAAGGUUAAAACUCAAAGAAAUUGACGGGGGCCCGCACAAGCGGUGGAGCAUGUGGUUUAAUUCGAAGCAACGCGAAGAACCUUACCUGCGUUUGACAUGCCCGACGGGAUCGCCAGAGAUGGCUUUCUUCAUUUAGUUGGUCGGUGCACAGGUGCUGCAUGGCU
rnacentral:rRNA from 1 species